rnacentral:rRNA from 1 species
UACGGAGGAUGCGAGCGUUAUCCGGAUUUAUUGGGUUUAAAGGGUGCGCAGGCGGCCUGUUAAGUCAGCGGUAAAAGCCCGGGGCUCAACCCCGGCGAGCCGUUGAAACUGGCAGUCUCGAGUUGGAGAGAAGUAUGCGGAAUGCGCGGUGUAGCGGUGAAAUGCAUAGAUAUCGCGCAGAACUCCGAUUGCGAAGGCAGCAUGCCGGCUCCACACUGACGCUGAGGCUCGAAAGCGUGGGGAGCAAACAGG